UCUAAACGGCAGAAACAGGAAGACCAGGUAGGAGGCUGUUGCACUAAUUCAGGCAAGAUACGAUGGUGGCUGAGUCUGGGCUGGGAACAAUGGAGGUGAAGUUGCUGUUCCCACGGCUCCCUCCUGAAAGAAGCUACGGAAAAUUUCUCAAGGAGUUCAAAGCUGGAGACUGGAUCCGCUCUCAGCAGCUUUCAGAGACCACCGGUGGAGCUCAGGAAUCCUUUCUGAGCCUGUGGCCCCCUGCUGCGCUACCCUCUCCUUGCCCUGAAAAGUCACUGCUCACCUGCCAUGUUUGUCCUUGACCCCAGACCCAGUGAAAGCCCCUGUCUUGGCCUCAGAUCACAUGACAAGGACAGUAAGCCCAAAGAGGAAUGUGAUGUGCCCAAGAUCUACUGCUAUUAGUAGAUAUUGGUCCUGACUGCACACUGGAAUAACUGGUUUUUUAAAAAUGCUGAUGCUUGGGCCACACGGCAGAUGGACUAAUUAGAAUUUCGGGGCCUUGGGCCUGGUUACUAGCACUUUUUAAAGCUGCCAUGUGACUCACUCUGAAGCCAGAGUUGAGAACCACUGAGCAAGACAAGAACCUGGGGUCAUCACAUCCAUCGUAGUCUCUCAUUCCUCAUCCCUGGGACCAUGGCAGACUUGACUAGUGGAUUAUGGAAUGCUUUCCUGUUGUGCCUAUCCUGACCUCCUCCCCAUAUUGUUCCUGGAAGCUACCACCUGUCCAUCAGCACUGGGUGACAACUUGAAA